UAAAGAAUUUCGGUUAUCGAUGGGGAUGCGUUCCAUUAGUUAGUUGGCGGGGUAACGGCCCACCAAGACGACGAUGGAUAGGGGUUCUGAGAGGAAGGUCCCCCACAUUGGAACUGAGACACGGUCCAAACUCCUACGGGAGGCAGCAGUGAGGAAUAUUGGUCAAUGGACGAGAGUCUGAACCAGCCAAGUAGCGUGAAGGAUGACUGCCCUAUGGGUUGUAAACUUCUUUUAUAUGGGAAUAAAACAGGGUAUGCAUACCCUCUUGUAUGUACCAUAUGAAUAAGGAUCGGCUAACUCCGUGCCAGCAGCCGCGGUAAUACGGAGGAUCCGAGCGUUAUCCGGAUUUAUUGGGUUUAAAGGGAGCGUAGGUGGAUUGUUAAGUCAGUUGUGAAAGUUUGCGGCUCAACCGUAAAAUUGCAGUUGAAACUGGCAGUCUUGAGUACAGUAGAGGUGGGCGGAAUUCGUGGUGUAGCGGUGAAAUGCUUAGAUAUCACGAAGAACUCCGAUUGCGAAGGCAGCUCACUGGACUGCAACUGACACUGAUGCCCGAAAGUGUGGGUAUCAAACAGGAUUAGAUACCCUGGUAGUCCACACAGUAAACGAUGAAUACUCGCUGUUUGCGAUAU
rnacentral:rRNA from 1 species